AGUGAGCUCCAGCGCGUCUCAGGACCGGCUAACUCCUGGCCUUCUCUCUCAGCCGGCGGACGGAAGGCCUCUCCGCCCACAGGCUCGUUUCUGCCGGCACACGGAGAGCAGUUCAGCGGCCUCCAGCCUCACCCGCACAGGAAAUGAUGGCACGAGGGCACCGUGAGCCUCGGCUGCUCCUGACGUUCCACCUCCGUCUUUCCAUCCUUUUGCCUUCAUCUUUCCCUCCAGCAGGCAAGUCGAUCUGUGGAGUUUUGUGCUCUCCUUCUCAAAACCGUUUCGCUAUGGAUAUCUUUGUGUCUUGUUUUUUUUUUUUCAUUUUUUCCCUAAUUGAGUUGUGUCCGCCGCUGUGGCCGUUUGUGCUGGACAGCGUUUGUUUGAAGGACUCCAGUGAGGCUGCCUUCUUCAGGU